UCGUUGGGGAAACAUUCACUUUUUUGGUAGUAGUCGUGUGAGACAGACCUAUUUAUUUCUUGAAAAAUAUGUCUAUUCAAAAUUUUUAGAACAAAAUUGUGGUGGAAACAUAAUUUAAUCUAAUAUUCAAGGAACGCCCUUAGAGAUAUAAUAAAAACCGUUCCCGUAGGAGACAGACUAACAUGAACGAAAGCGUCGUGCGACGCGACCCCGCCUGAAGGAAGCUGACCACGAUCAUGCCGCAGCGAGUGGCGAGUCCGGGCGACGACAGAGUCAGCGAGAGCGUACAGUCGCUGCCACGGUAGUCGGUCGUCGCCUGGUUGGGCGUGUUCUGAACGCCACCAUCGUGAUGGGAGCGAUCGGGCGGCGUGUUAAGGCGAGGUCCGUCAGCAGCACGGGAUGGGCUUCGGUCGGGGUGUGCAACUUGCUGUCCAGCGGUAGCUCGACGAAGUGUUGUUGAUGUGGAGAGUGUGCGACAUCUGAAAGUGGUUGCUCCGUGGUUUGCUCAACAUCUUCGUGCAUCAAAGGUAUUCGGUUGUGUUUCGUUCAGCUUAUUGAACAGCUCGUCCACGGUACCGGGAUUCUACGGGCUUAUUCCAUGACUGGUACUAUAAGUGGUGCUGGCGGGCUGAAUGCAAACACAAACUUAAUUCUUUUAACAGUGUUUAGAAAUCGUUUUCCGAGUUUGUAAAUGUAAACUAUGUUUAGCAACUUCAAAGAGAUGUGGCCGCAACCUGAAUACUAAUAAACCAAAUUAAUACAAAUUGAUCGCUUGUUUACCUAGCAUAGGGGCCUAGUGUUGUGAAAAUGUGUUGUUCUUUCCGAAAGCAGGGGUGCAUUCGGAAUAUUCGAUUAUUUAUGCGACUUACAGCACUUUUGGCCAUAUUUCUGCCUAUCGCCGCAAUUAUCACCACUAAGGGCAUAGAAAACAGCUGAUCCGUCUAUACAAUUUUGACGGUUUAAUAAGCUUAUUCUCGGCUAAUUGCUGGAUUUCGACAGUUUCGCAAGAAUACAAAAGCCGUGUGCCGUGUGUAGCUGUGUGCAACGAUCGACAGGGCAUUGCGUAUUUCGAGCACCAAUUUCUGGCAAAAAGCAACAUGACCGAAAAGAGGCUGAAGGAGAGAAUCCAGAUGAUGUCCUCCGAGGGAGAACGCAUUAUUGUUGAUAGGAAAGUCGCCAAGCGAUUUGUUGGAGAGAGCAGGAUGGGAAAUGAAAUUGAGCAUCUUUACUUUGAGAAUGGAUGAUCCUCAGCCCGAACUCAGCGAUACCCAAGUAAAACAAUGGUACACCCAAUUCUUCGAUGAGGAUCAGGAAAUUCUCUUGGAACUGGCUGAAAUAGCCGAUACCCUGGAAAUAAAGGUGCUUUCCUAUAUAGCACGGCAACGGCUACUAGAUGGUACAACACCUAAGAACAAUUGAAUAACUGCUCACGAGCUUCGAUUUCAAAGUUAAACAUAUGUCUAGUAGUUCCCCUUAACUGUUAAAACGAAGUCACGAAUUAAAUGGUUCUGCAGAUAAUCACAGG